GUGAGGAAUAUUGGGCAAUGCCCGCAAGGGUGACCCAGCAACGCCGCGUGGAGGAUGAAUGCCGUAAGGUUGUAAACUCCUGUUAGAGGGGAAGAAUAGUACCGAUUGGAUCGGUAUUUGACUGUACCCUCAGAGAAAGCCCCGGCUAACUACGUGCCAGCAGCCGCGGUAAUACGUAGGGGGCAAGCGUUGUCCGGAUUUACUGGGUGUAAAGGGCGCGCAGGCGGGAUAAAAAGUCAGAGGUGAAAUCCUACAGCUUAACUGUAGAACUGCCUUUGAUACUUUUAUUCUUGAGUUCGGAAGAGAGAGACGGAAUUCCAGGUGUAGUGGUGAAAUACGUAGAUAUCUGGAAGAACACCAGUUGCGAAGGCGGUCUCUUGGUCCGAUACUGACGCUGAGGCGCGAAAGCGUGGGGAGCAAACAGGAUUAGAAACCCGAGUAGUCC
rnacentral:rRNA from 1 species